UAAUGUCUUCAGGGCAGGGUGAAAUCCCCGAUCGGCGGUAAAGUCCGCGAGCGUGAAACGCAGGAUUUGGUGAAAGUCCAAAACCGACAGUAUAGUCUGGAUUGAAGAAGGUGUGU
rfam:Lachnospiraceae bacterium 3_1_57FAA_CT1 genomic scaffold acsNT-supercont1.1, whole genome shotgun sequence.